rnacentral:rRNA from 1 species
UGAGGGAAAGGCGAAAAGAACCCCGGCGAGGGGAGUGAAAAAGAACCUGAAACCGUGUACGUACAAGCAGUGGGAGCACCCUUUGGGUGUGUGACUGCGUACCUUUUGUAUAAUGGGUCAGCGACUUAUAUUCUGUAGCAAGGUUAACCGAAUAGGGGAGCCGGAGGGAAACCGAGUCUUAAUUGGGCGUUAAGUUGCAGGGUAUAGACCCGAAACCCGGUGAUCUAGCCAUGGGCAGGUUGAAGGUUGGGUAACACUAACUGGAGGACCGAACCGACUAAUGUUGAAAAAUUAGCGGAUGACCUGUGGCUGGGGGUGAAAGGCCAAUCAAACCGGGAGAUAGCUGGUUCUCCCCGAAAGCUAUUUAGGUAGCGCCUCGUGAAUUCAUCUCCGGGGGUAGAGCACUGUUUCGGCUAGGGGGCCAUCCCGGCUUACCAACCCGAUGCAAACUGCGAAUACCGGAGAAUGUUAUCACGGGAGACACACGGCGGGUGCUAACGUCCGUCGUGAAGAGGGAAACAACCCAGACCGCCAGCUAAGGUCCCAAAGUCAUGGUUAAGUGGGAAACGAUGUGGGAAGGCCCAGACAGCCAGGAUGUUGGCUUAGAAGCAGCCAUCAUUUAAAGAAAGCGUAAUAGCUCACUGGUCGAGUCGGCCUGCGCGGAAGAUGUAACGGGGCUAAACCAUGCACCGAAGCUGCGGCAGCGACGUUUAUGCGUUGUUGGGUAGGGGAGCGUUCUGUAAGCCUGCGAAGGUGGCCUGUGAGGGUUGCUGGAGGUAUCAGAAGUGCGAAUGCUGACAUAAGUAACG